rnacentral:misc_RNA from 1 species
GACGAAUUCAAAAUAUAAAUUCUUUCUUUUUUAAUAUUUAAAAAUUCGCAAUUGUUAUUUUUACGAGUUAGAAAAAGAGACUCGUCUCUCUAUAAAAAGCCCUAAAGCUCCUCCUUUUCAACGCUUUUUACACCAGAUCUCUUGGACUGACUCCGUGGAGAUGCGUGCUUGCUGAGGGAGGCCAUUUUUACAAUCUGGAGAGAGUUGGAGGAGAAGAGAUUUCAUCAAUGGAGAAUGGUGGUAACGGAGUGGUGACGUUGUUGUUCACGGAAGAGGAGUUGCGUGAGAUAAGUGGGGUAAAGAGAUGCGAUGAUUAUGUGGAGGUGAUGUGUGGGUGUACAAGCCAUCGAUAUGGUGAUGCUGUUGCUAGACUUAGGGUUUUCUCGUCUGGUGAACUUGAAAUCACCUGUGAAUGUACUCCUGGAUGCACUGAAGACAAGCUUACUCCGUCUGCGUUUGAGAAGCAUUCUGGGAGAGAAACUGCUAGGAAAUGGAAAAAUAAUGUAUGGAUCAUUGUCAAUGGUGAUAAAGUUCCUGUGGUAAAGACCCCAUUGCUAAAAUAUUAUAACAAGUCUCUAAAGCAUGCUAUUUCUCAAAAUGGAAAAGCUUGUCAUCGUGAUGAGUUCCUAAGAUGUACCGAGUGCAACAAAGCCCGCAGGUUCCGUCUCCGUUCAAAGGAAGAGUGCAGAACUUACCAUGAUGCUUUGGCGAAUGUGCAUUGGAACUGCUCUUGUAUUCCUUAUGACAAAUUUUCAUGUGACGAUGAAGAAGAGCGAGCAAGCCGUAGGGUGUACAGGGGAUGUUCUCGUUCUCCCACAUGUAAAGGUUGCACCACCUGUGUUUGUUUUGGUUGCGAAAUAUGCAGAUUUUCGGACUGCAGUUGCCAGACGUGCAGUGACUUCACAAAGAAUGCAAAAGGCUGAAUUAUUUGUUUCCAAUUUGAAUGGGGUAUGUGUUCCCCAUCAUUAUUAAUUCAUCUAAAAACCCCUACUGCUCAUGUUUUUGCUGACAUAUCUAAGACCCAUUAAUUGCCGUUUUACAUUCACAAUCAAAG